rnacentral:rRNA from 1 species
GACGAACGCUGGCGGCGUGCUUAACACAUGCAAGUCGAACGAUGAACCGGGUGCUUGCACCUGGGGAUUAGUGGCGAACGGGUGAGUAACACGUGAGUAACCUGCCCUGGACUCUGGGAUAACUCCGAGAAAUCGGAGCUAAUACCGGAUAGGACCUUCUCCCGCAUGGGGGUUGGUGGAAAGUUUUUCGGUCUGGGAUGGACUCGCGGCCUAUCAGCUUGUUGGUGAGGUAAUGGCUCACCAAGGCGUCGACGGGUAGCCGGCCUGAGGGGGUGACCGGCCACACUGGGACCGAGACACGGCCCAGACUCCUACGGGAGGCAGCAGUGGGGAAUAUUGCACAAUGGGCGCAAGCCUGAUGCAGCAACGCCGCGUGCGGGAUGACGGCCUUCGGGUUGUAAACCGCUUUUAGUUGGGAAGAAGGGCUUCGGCUUGACGGUACCUGCAGAAAAAGGACCGGCUAACUACGUGCCAGCCGCCGCCGUAAAAC